GGGCGCGCCACGGGCCCGGUGGGACCGCGGGUGGGGAAGUCCAGAAAGCUUGCUCUUCCCUGUCAGGAGCCGCCUGCCGCAGGCGGGAUGAACGAGAGCUGUAAAAUGGGACUGUCCCAUUCCCACGCUCCACGGCUGCGACCCCUGUACGGGGCAGUGGGCGGCGGCGCGGGUAGGAAGCAGGCGGGGAGCGACGCGGAGAGCCCGAUUUGUCCCUCCUCCAGCCACUUGUUGCUUAUCCAUGGGCCUGGGACUGCCAUUUGGAUCCACACAGGGGAAUUAAAACAAAAAGAAUAAUGAGGCUCCUGGCCGUGGCGGGGUGCGCAUUGGCCCUCUUGCCCUGCGUGUAGCAGGUGGAGGAGACAGGCUCCAUCCUUAGAGCUUCCCAGAGCCCAGGGUUGGCCUGAAGACACCAAAGCAGAGGACAGCCAGGAAUUGGGUCAGAAAGAAAAAGCUUCGUUGGUUUUAAUUAUUUUAAAUAGAAAAGCCACAUCCAAAAGUACCAAUAAUGAUUUUUACAGUAAACCCACUAUGUUGACAUAAACCAGCCCACCCCUGAACGCACAGAAGACCGUAGCACAAACCGUGAGAGGCGUAUUGAAGGACUGGGGCAAAAUCAGGACCGACAGGCAAGCGUGGUUUCCAUCAGGGUCUUACUCCUCUGGCUUCCUAGUUUAGGCAGAUUUCACCCUGUUAAUAGGGUCCGUGGAUCGGUCUCUCUUUCUCUCCUCUCUCUCUAGCUCUCUAUCUCUCUCCCUUUCCACCUCGUGUUUCAUUCCUUUGAAACAAAUCCAGGGAGCAGAUGGCCUCAGAAGGGUAUCUAAUCCAUGCCUGGCCUCGAGGCACGUACUAUAAGCUGUGAUACCGUGCUAAGGUGUUAUUAUAGAGACAAAAAUAUCUCAGACUGCAGGAUCUAGCCAUCCUAUUCUUAAAGUUCCCUAGGGAAAGAUGUUGUACAAUAUUCUUUGAUAACCUACUACAAAUGCUAACCACUUUAAGUACAAUAUAAGAACCUUCUGAUCCUAGGUUUUAUUUGUUUCUAUUUAAACUCAUUCAGGGUCAGGCUACCCAGAGGGCAGUUGAACACCUGUCCGGUGGCUUAUGGGAAUGCCUUGCACGAUGUGCACUUCCCUCCACCAGGAUCAGUGUGUCUGCUGACACUGGGGACCAUGCCUGAGACAUAGGUACAAUUGGGCUGUGCCAGGGCAGCUCAGAGAAAGUGAUCCACUCUGAUUCAGACCCUGCCAGCUGAGUUACUUACUUCCCUUACUUCCUUUUUUUUGAGAUGGAGUUUCGCUCUUUUUGCUCAGGUUGGAGUGCAAUGGUGCAAUCUUGGCCUACUGCAACCUCCGCCUCCCAGGUUCAAGUGCUUCUCCUGCC
rnacentral:lncRNA from 10 species